AUGAACAUACUGGACUACCUGAAGCCUGACAAAUUUCCAGAAAAGUAUAUCCUCAAACAGUACACAAAGACUGCAAAAUCACAACCAACAUUUGAUACAAGGGACUACAACACGACUGCAUCAGAUGGUAGCUCAAGACUAUCGAAGCAAGAGAUCUUGCUGCAGCUAAAUUUGAUGGUUAACAAGAAAGCGAUGAUAUGUGACCAGCAAUAUGAUAGAGCCUUCUAUGUUCUCAAGAGGCUAGUGGAAGAGCUUGAUGCAAUACAUUCAGUAAAUCGAGCGGAUGCUGACCAAAGGAUGGCUGAAGAGGAUGCUGAAAUUGAAGAUGACCUUCAUUAUUAUGUAGCUGAAAUGCUCCAGGCCGCUGCUCAAGCCAACCAAUCCAAGCAGGGUGUUGACAAAUGA
rnacentral:rRNA from 1 species